GACAGAGGUGCCGAGCGUUAGGCGGAAUCACUGGGCUUAAAGCGUGUGUAGGCGGACCGUUAAGUGUCUUGUGAAAUCCCACGGCUCAACCGUGGAACGGCUGGGCAUACUGGCGGUCUUGAGCGGUCCAGGGGCGAGCGGAACAAGCGGUGGAGCGGUGAAAUGCGUAGAUAUCGCUUGGAACGCCGACGGUGAAAACAGCUCGCUGGGGACCCGCUGACGCUGAGACGACGAAAGCCAGGGGAGCGGAACGGG
rnacentral:rRNA from 1 species